rnacentral:rRNA from 1 species
UACGUAGGGUGCGAGCGUUUGUCCGGAAUUAUUGGGCGUAAAGGGCUCGUAGGCGGUUUGUCGCGUCGGGAGUGAAAACCUCGGGCUUAACUCGGGGCUUGCUUUCGAUACGGGCAGACUGGAGGUAUGCAGGGGAGAACGGAAUUCCUGGUGUAGCGGUGAAAUGCGCAGAUAUCAGGAGGAACACCGGUGGCGAAGGCGGUUCUCUGGGCAUGACCUGACGCUGAGGAGCGAAAGUGUGGGGGAGCGAACAGG